UUUCUGAGGGCAAGGUAAGGUUAGACGGUCAGACCCCCUUUACGGCUAACAAAAGAAAGAUCAUAAAGUGCGGGCACUCUCGCCUCGGAGGGAUGAAAUAAUUAUCCUAGAAUCACCUAUAACACCAGCUUUUCCUUUGCCCUAGCCCCGCCAGUGAUCAAUUGGAAGCGCGCGAUGUGUAGGAUUAGGGGGAGUCGGAAAAGUGGUAGUAGUCAGAAAAGUCGUCGGAGUAGUCGGUUCUUCCAUUCAAAGCAAGGCGGGAGGAUCUCUCUCAAUAAAGGAAUUAGUGGAUGGAUUUCAUACCAAUGCUAGAAUUGGAUACACAUAAAAUGGGUUUAGAGGGACCCUCAUAUCAAAAGAAUACAUAAUCGACUAUAGGCACCCGAACCCUAUAACGGAAAGGCAGCCCAAUAUACUGUUCAAAAAAGAUAAGCAAUAUAAGUAUACAAUACGAUACAGUGAAAGAUAAGCACUAUAAUAUACAAUACGAUGGAUGAACUUCAGCCUUAACUAAAGCCAGGGGCACCCUUAUAACUGGUCAAAGGUUAGCGGAACUCAAAAAUAGGACAAGGCUUUCGUGCUAGUAGGAGUCAGAUGCCUCUUUGGAUUAAGGUAUCCGGUCGGUGGCCUUAGUGACGCUCGCCGCAUUGAGGUAUCUGGUAGACGUUCCCCUAGUGACGCUCGCCGCUACUUUAGUAAAGCUGUUGAACUCGUGCUUUUGAUAGGAAGUGAUUCUUCUACAGGUAUUCCUCUGGCUUGUGGUUACACGAUUCAAAAUACAUACAAUACUCUCUAUAGGGUUCAGACUACCAGCCAAUGAUGGACCUGGGCCUAAGGAAGUUCUUACAAUUCCAGUUUGGUAGUUGCUGCACCUCUUUCAAAGCCUCUUACUCGUCCUCAGUGAAAAAGAAUUCUUUCAGAUCUUUUAAUAAGCUUGGCGGAUAAGAGUAAUUGGGAAUCCUAUUCUAACCCUAUAAGCGAAAAGCAAGCUGUAAAGGCAGCCCUUCUUGUUUGAUCAGGUCUUUGAAUACGAGAAAUGCCGUCGCCUACUUGCUGAAAAAGGACAUUAGCCCGCUUUUGACCUUAUAAGUGGGGCCACUAGCGACUUCCUUAGAUUUCCUAUUCGUUCUAAAGGCUUUUAUGCCGAAUUGCUAUUAAUAGAGUAUAGUUCCUCGAACCGCAUUUGAAGAAAUUGUACUCCUUUUAAUCAUUAACCGUGUAUAGCUGUGCUCCACUUUUGAGUGCAAAGAAUAUAGCCUCGAAUCAAAUAACAGAGAAGAGUUUCCGCUGGGCUAGGACGGACACCAAUGUCCUAAUAGUAAAGCAAAGGCAAAAAGAAGGCACAGAAGAUAAGGCAAGACACUGUAACCUGCUCUUACAAUAAAAUAAGUCAUCUCAAGCCCCGGGAGAAGACGAGAAGGCAUAGAUCCCUAUUUCUUUCCCUAUCGAUAAAGAAUUCUGGAUAGAAAGAGAAGUUGUUGGAGUAGUGAGUGUGCUUAUUUGCGAAGAGAUUCAAUGUCGCCCUUUCGUCCCCCUUUCCUCUUGCCCCUUUAGUCGGUCCUCUCUUAUCAUUAAGGCAAAGGCUUCAAUAGCUUCAUCGCCUUGCAGGUUGGUUUACCCUUAAUGCCUUGCUUUCAGGUUUACCCUUAAUAGUGAAAGGGAAAAAAGCGCUUAUUUCUUCGAUCUAAUAAAGAUAAGUCAGCUGUGUUCUUACUAAAUGGAAAUUCUAGAAUCAGGUAAAACUUCUUAUAUGGGAAUUCUAGUUUCGAGUUUGGUUACUAUCUUUCUAUAAUGGGUGUCCUAAAUUCCUUUCUAUGAUGGGUGUCCGUCAUUCGAUUAUUUAGUUUAAGAGAGAGGCGCAAGUAUGACUUUAAGAUAGAGGCUUUAUUACACAAGCACCGUUAUCUACUACAGCGAAAUGACUUCAAAUGGAAUGCUCGGAGGUUCUGGAAUUUGGCUUCAAUGAAGGGAAUGUUAUGGAAUUUGGCUUCAAUUCAUAUGUUCAACUCAUCAAAUAGCUAAUAAAGAGAGAGUAUAUACCUUCGAUUCUAGUUUCAGAAAGAAUAGCUUGACUAACCUAACAGGAAAAUAGAAGAAAUUGACUAACCUAACUGGAAACAAACUAGAAGAAUAUGAAAAAGUAACCACAUAUGCAUGGAGUCAGAAAGCGGCUUAUUAAAGUCAC
rnacentral:lncRNA from 1 species